rnacentral:rRNA from 1 species
ACCCGCACAAGCGGUGGAUGAUGUGGAUUAAUUCGAUGCAACGCGAAGAACCUUACCUACCCUUGACAUGUCCGGAACUUGCCAGAGAUGGCUUGGUGCCCGAAAGGGAAUCGGAACACAGGUGCUGCAUGGCUGUCGUCAGCUCGUGUCGUGAGAUGUUGGGUUAAGUCCCGCAACGAGCGCAACCCUUAUCAUUAGUUGCUACGCAAGGGCACUCUAAUGAGACUGCCGGUGACAAACCGGAGGAAGUGGGGAUGACGUCAAGUCCUCAUGGCCCUUAUGGGUAGGGCUUCACACGUCAUACAAUGGUCGGUACAGAGGGUUGCCAAGCCGCGAGGCGGAGCCAAUCCCACAAAGCCGAUCGUAGUCCGGAUUGUUCUCUGCAACUCGAGAGCAUGAAGUCGGAAUCGCUAGUAAUCGCAGGUCAGCAUACUGCGGUGAAUACGUUCCCGGGUCUU